rnacentral:rRNA from 1 species
GUUGAACGCUGGCGGCAGGCUUAACACAUGCAAGUCGAGCGGGGUGAUGGUGCUUGCACUAUCACUUAGCGGCGGACGGGUGAGUAAUGCUUAGGAAUCUGCCUAUUAGUGGGGGACAACAUCUCGAAAGGGAUGCUAAUACCGCAUACGUCCUACGGGAGAAAGCAGGGGAUCACUUGUGACCUUGCGCUAAUAGAUGAGCCUAAGUCGGAUUAGCUAGUUGGUGGGGUAAAGGCCUACCAAGGCGACGAUCUGUAGCGGGUCUGAGAGGAUGAUCCGCCACACUGGGACUGAGACACGGCCCAGACUCCUACGGGAGGCAGCAGUGGGGAAUAUUGGACAAUGGGGGGAACCCUGAUCCAGCCAUGCCGCGUGUGUGAAGAAGGCCUUAUGAUUGUAAAGCACUUUAAGCGAGGAGGAGGCUCUUUUGGUUAAUACCCAAGAUGAGUGGACGUUACUCGCAGAAUAAGCACCGGCUAACUCUGUGCCAGCCGCCGCAGUAA